AGCGAACGCUGGCGGCAGGCCUAACACAUGCAAGUCGAACGAACCUUUCGGGGUUAGUGGCGGACGGGUGAGUAACACGUGGGAACAUGCCUUUAGGUUCGGAAUAACUCAGGGAAACUUGUGCUAAUACCGAAUGUGCCCUUCGGGGGAAAGAUUAAUCGCCUUUAGAGCGGCCCGCGUCGGAUUAGCUAGUUGGUUGAGGUAAUGGCUCACCAAGGCGACGAUCAGUAGCUGGUCUGAGAGGAUGAUCAGCCACAUCGGGACUGAGACACGGCCCAAACUCCUACGGGAGGCAGCAGUGGGGAAUCUUGCGCAAUGGGCGAAAGCCUGACGCAGCCAUGCCGCGUGAAUGAUGAAGGUCUUAGGAUUGUAAAAUUCUUUCACCGGGGACGAUAAUGACGGUACCCGGAGAAGAAGCCCCGGCUAACUUCGUG
rnacentral:rRNA from 1 species